rnacentral:lncRNA from 1 species
GAAGAAAUGGCCUGAUGCGCGCGCGCCGCGCACCGCGCUCCGCUUCCCGGGUUGCGCGCUCGGGACGGAGGGCGCGCGCCCGUUGCCCAGGCGACCCCCGGCGGCGCGCCCAUGGCGCGUGGGCCCAGGAGGGGUUGGAGGGAUCGCGAGUUCGAGGCUCCAGUCUGUCGGUUGAGUCACGCGUCGAAAGCGUGGUGGUUUGGGGCAGGUGGAUCUCGGUGAGUUCAAGGCCAGCUGGGUCUACAGAGCCAGUUCCAAGACAGCCAGAGCUACACAAAGAACCCCCCUCCCCCACAAAAGAAAGGAAGGAAGGAAGGAAGAAAGAGAGUGUCUGCAUCAUAAAAGGUCUCACGCUGAGUGUCACCUCCUCAAGAAGGUCUCCUGACUGCAGCUAAUGCCUCCUGUCAUCCUCUGCUGCUCCUAUUUUAUUGGCUGGCUUCUCGCCUGGCAGUCCUGUCUCAUCAGGGUGGAACCUCUCUUUUCCCAUGUCCCAGCACCUGACAUUUGCUGGAAAGAGAGACUUUAGUGACCCUAAGUGUCAGCUUUCCCCAAAGCCUUGUGGACAAAGCUGGCCCUGCCAACCUAAUGAUGAUGGUAGCUGAUUACAAAGUAAACAAGGUGGCCGUUGUCACCAUGGCUAAAUUGGUUUCUGGUCAGGCAAGCCUGUAAAGUGCUCCAAUGUUCUCACUCGGGUUCUUGGAUUUCUCUUUGCAGAUUCCACUAAGGGAAGAAAUUAACAGUUCAAGUCAACCUUUUAAUCACCCCAGGACUUGUGGGUAGAGCAGAGAGUGUUUUCGAAGCAUGGGGUUGUUGCUGGCCCCUGACUGAGCGAGGCCAGCAAGUGGCCUUGACAGUAGUGGCAUUGGCCUACCAGUAAUGCAACUUAGAGCUUAGAAUCCGAAGUAACAGUCAAACUCUAAUGUUGCUUCAUCCGGGAGGUCCCUACUCCUUUCCCCUCUCUCGAUAACUCCCAACCCCGGCCCUUCACACGAGCCAUGACUUGAAGUGUUUGUCAUCAUCCCUUUACUGACUGUAAACUUUGUGAAUAAGUGAGGCUGAGUUGUGUUGCCCAACACCGUCCUCGUUGGGCUGGAAGUCUGCAAGUCAUUCUUCCCAAACCCCCACCUGUUCUAGAAUUCAGGAUGGCAAGGGCUUCUUUGCCUCUCAAAGACUGAAGCCCUUGGGAUGUCCAGCACAACCACCCAGUGCUGGGAGCACACAGGCAGGAUGGGCGCAGCUCCACCUCAGAGCCUCAAGAUUGGAUUUCCUAGCAGAAUUAGGCACCUGGAUCGCUUG